GCAAGUCGCACGGGAGCCGCAAGGCUCUAGUGGCGCAAGGGUGAGUAAUGUAUCGCUAACGUACCCUGGACACUGGGAUAGCUGCCCGAAAGGGCAGGUAAUACCAGAUGAAAUAUCCAUCUCGCAUGAGUGUGGAUCUCAAAGGAGCAAUCCGGUCUGGGCGCGGGCGAUAUCGUAUCAGCUAGUUGGUGAGGUAACGGCUCACCAAGGCGACGACGCGUAGCCGGACUGAGAGGUCGGUCGGCCACAUCGGGACUGAGACACUGCCCGGACUCCUACGGGGGGCUGCAGUAACGAAUCUUCCCCAAUGGGCGCAAGCCUGAGGGAGCGACGCCGCGUGGAGGAUGAAGUCCUUCGGGAUGUAAACUCCUGUCAGGGGUUACCAAGAUACUGAGGAGCCCCAAAGGAAGAGGCGGCUAACUCUGUGCCAGCAGCCGCGGUAAGACAGAGGCCUCGAGCGUUAGGCGGAAUCACUGGGCUUAAAGCGUGUGUAGGCGGAUCGUUAAGUGCCUUGUGAAAUCCCACGGCUUAACUGUGGAACGGCUGGGCAUACUGGCGGUCUUGAGCCAUCUAGGGGCGACUGGAACAAACGGUGGAGCGGUGAAAUGCGUAGAUAUCGUUUGGAACGCCAAUGGUGAAAACAGGUCGCUGGGGAUGAGCUGACGCUGAGACACGAAAGCCAGGGGAGCAAACGGGAUUAGAUACCCCGGUAGUCCUGGCCCUAAACGAUGUCCACUAGAUCGCAGGACCUCUGACGGUUUUGCGGUCGAAGCAAAAGUGCUAAGUGGACCCCCUGGGAAGUACGGUCGCAAGGCUAAAACUCAAGGAAUUGACG
rnacentral:rRNA from 1 species